AGAGCAUGAUACUGGCUCAGAACAAACGCUGGCAGCGUGCCUUAUACAUGCAAGUCGAGCGAGAAACUCCGCUUCGGCGGGGGAGUAAAGCGGCGAAAGGGUGAGUAAUGCAUGGGUAACUUGCCUCCCGGAGCGGGAUAACGGCGCCCUUUAGUGGGCCUUCGGCGAAAGUGCCGCUAGUACCGCAUGAAGAGACGCGGGCACUUCCUUACUCGUAAGCGUGGUAGCCUGUGUGUUGAAAUGGUGCGCAGGGCUUGCCCUGUGCCUCCGCCGGGAGAGAGGCCCAUGUCCUAUUAGCUAGUUGGUGGGGUAACGGCCCACCAAGGCGACGAUGGGUAGCCGACGUGAGAGCGUGACCGGCCACACUGGGACUGAGACACUGCCCAGAGCCCCACGGGGCGCAGCAGUAGGGAAUCUUCCGCAAUGGGCGCAAGCCUAACGGAGCGACGCUGCGUGGAGGAAGAAGGCCUUCGGGUUGUAAACUCCUGUCAGGGGCUAAGAAACGCUCGGGGGCGACCCCGGGCUUGACAAAGACCCCAAAGGAAGUCAUGGCUAACUCCGUGCCAGCAGCCGCGGUAAUACGGAGAUGGCAAGCGUUGUUCGGAAUUACUGGGCGUAAAGCGCGCGUAGGCGGUCGGGCAAGUCGGAGGUGAAAUCCUGCGGCUCAACCGCAGAACUGCCUUUGAUACUGCUCGACUUGAGGACGGAAGGGGAGAGUGGAACUCCUGGUGGAGCGGUGAAGUGCGUAGGUAUCAGGAGGAACGCCGGUGGCGAAAGCGACUCUCUGGGCCGUUCCUGACGCUGAGUGUGCGAAAGCCAGGGGAGCGAACGGGAUUAGAUACCCCGGUAGUCCUGGCCGUAAACGAUGGGCACUUGGCAGUAGGGGUUCGCCUUUACUGCCGGAGCUAACGCGUUAAGUGCCCCGCCUGGGUAGUACGGCCGCAAGGCUAAAACUCAAAGUAAUUGACGGGGGCUCGCACAAGCGGUGGAGCAUGUGCCUUAAUUCGAUUCAACGCGAGGAACCUUACCAGGGCUUGACAUGCUGGUGGUACAAUCCCGAAAGGGGGAGGACCCUGGUUUCCAGGGAGCCAGCACAGGUGUUGCAUGGCUGUCGUCCGCUCGUAUCGUGAGAUGUUGGGUUAAGUCCCGCAACGAGCGCAACCCUUGUCCCUAGUUACUAACGGAUAAUGCUGAGGACUCUAGGGAGACUGCCGGUGUCAAACCGGAGGAAGGUGGGGAUGACGUCAAGUCCUCAUGGCCCUUAUGCCCUGGGCGGGACACAUGCUACAAUGGCCGGCACAGCGGGAUGCGAAACCGCAAGGUGGAGCGAAGCCCUUAAAGCCGGUCUCAGUUCGGAUCGGGGGCUGCAACUCGCCCCCGUGAAGCUGGAAUCGCUAGUAAUCGCGGAUCAGCCACGCCGCGGUGAAUAUGUCCCCGAGCCUUGUACACACCGCCCGUCAAGCGACGGAAGUUGGCAGCACGCUAAGUCGUGGGUCUAACCCUGCUUCGGCAGGGAGGGCCGCGCCCACCGUGAGGCCAGCGACCGGCACUAAGUCGUAACAAGGU
rnacentral:rRNA from 1 species